CUAUUAAUAUAACUUACCCAGGGCUUGUAACAGGACAGCUGGCAAAUAAGGAUUCAUAGAUGGAAGGAAUCUGGGUCAUCCUCAAAUAAGAUGAGCCACUCCAUAAAUAAAUAACAGGGCACUGGCUGGGUUGGCUGGGGACUAGGGGAGAUGAGGGGAUGGUAUGGACUCAGGAAGCUGGGAAAGCGCAAAGUCUGAGAAGAGGGAAUGCGAAGAGUGGGGCGAGCUGAAGACCAGCACUGUCUGAGAAUGCGUUAGAAAUAACUGAAUCAUAGUGCAUCACCCAAUUUAGUGGUUCUCUCCCAGGGCUGCCCACCCAGACUGAAUUAUGGAAGGCAAGGACCUUCACGCCUUUGCCAACCAUAUACUCCACUGUGUUCCUUCAUGCCCUACCUCGUCUCCUCCCCCAGCACCCUGCACUUGCACAGCUGAGAGGGGAAAUGAAGGAAGGAGACUAGGCUAGCCCCACCUGCCUGCCCUGUAACACGCACAAGGCCAAGGCCAAAGCCCUGGGUUUCCCAGAGAACCUGCCGCCAGUGGGAAUGAGAAGUGUGAGAAAUGGAGCAUGGGGAGGGGAGUACCUACCUCCCUCAUGUGGUUGUUGUGCAAAUCUAGGGAGCUUAAACCCAGUAACAAGUGAAAAGUACAAACAAUGCUUGGCAAAUUGCCAAGGCUUGCUUUAAAGACACUUAAUAUUCAACAGAAUCUGAGCUGGUGCUGUACUACUUGCGAGUAAAUGAAUGGAUUAGCAACAGAAUAUACAAGU
rnacentral:lncRNA from 10 species